ensembl:snoRNA
ACAGUCUGAAAAUGACCUGGGGUUUAUCAGGGGUCUAGGGGGAGAGAACUGUGUCUACACUAUUGUGGUACGUUAAGCUUAUUGCCUGCUCUGUUUGUGACGGUGUAAUAAGACCCAAGUGCUCACAAUC